GUGGGGUUGAUGUGAAGGAAGAAAGAUGAAGAAGAUUGCAGCUUUGGUUCUCUUGUUAGUCUUUGUAGCCUCCCAGAUGGAGGAGGCCCACUCAACUGAUGCAUUUGAGUGCCACGAUGCCUGCACAUUGAAUUGCGUUGGAGAAGACCAGAGUAAGAUUGAAAGUUGCGACCGCAAGUGUCAAGUACAAUGUGACCCUGGUUUUGCGGGUGCUGCUGGUAUGCUCUAGUCAUGGAAUGAAGCUUCAAUUGACAUAUUUUCGCCUAAUUACUAAUAAAAUGUAAAACCGAUCUGGUUUAGAAUAAGAUAGUUCUUGUAUGUGGGCUCUUGGCUUUCUUAAUUUUAAAGGCUUAUCAACUGUUGAUCACAAUGGAGAUGGAGAUUACUACAAAAACAAAAGAUGAUAAAGCAUUUAGCUUAAAAGUUAUAUUAUUUGAAGUAAUAACUUUUGUAAAAAUGUCUGACA